CCUUCACUCCAAGCCCUCUCCCCUCGCUCUCAACCACCUCAACUCUGAACAACAACAACAUGCCAACGAGGAUCAUCAACUUCACCCCACCCCCUUCGUAUAUAUUGGGACCAUGUUAAUGAUUUGGUGUCUGAAUGAACGAGCUGAGUUACUACCUCCAAGGAUGGGAAACCUGCAAUUUGAGAGUUAUAUUAUACUAAAUCUGAUAAGGAUUUGUCUCUUUAAUUUAAUUUAAUUUACUUCCUUCAAAUGCCUUACAUCUUAUUUUAACAUUGAUUGACUAAGUAGAUUCAUGUGGUUAUGCACGAUUUUUUUAUAGGCUUAUUUGAUUACAUAUUCCUAAUUAAAUUCAUUUCCUGGCAACACAUGGCUACAUGACUUGUUAAGCUAUAUUUCAAUAUGGUUUUCAUUUAUUUUUCUAAUUAAUAGAAAAUCUAGUUAUAUUUUUAAUUUUAUUUUGUUUAAUUUUUUAUUGACUUUAUUACGGGUAUACAAGAAAGUUCUUAUUUAUUUUGUGCAGUGGGUAUGCAUGAAUUUGAGUUUGUAAUUUUGUGAGAAUGUUACAUUGAAAAACAAUUUGGAUCUAAUUUUAUCAUGUGUUGAAUUAUGAAUGCUUUAAAUAAAAAGGUUGGAGUUCAAGAAAUCAAAGUUAUGGUUGAACCAACCAGUGGUUUUGUUGUUUUGGCUAAAAGUUUUGAGAAUGGGGAACAAUCUCUUGGUCUUUGUUUCAAGUGAGAAUUCAUUCAUUUGAAAUGUUAUACUGACAUUUUCCUUUUUGUGAACGUGUUUUCAUUUUUCUCUUCAAACAUUUUCCCUCGUUUCAUUUUCUUCAAACAAUUUUUCUUUAUCAGUUAUCAAAUGUGCUCAUUGCCAACUUUAUUUAUGUUUUAGUGGAACCCUAGAGAUAAAUUGCUCCGAGGAAAUCAAAAUUUAGGGAGUGAUCGGGCCUUGCACUUCCUUGGAAAAGGCGAGGGAAACACAAUAGCAUGGAAGAUGUGUGGCCUUGAUAAGAGCACAUGUUUGAUUGUGAUGUUUGAUCUUUCAUCAAGUGAGUGGACAAACACCCUCGGUGUUGUCAACCCGAAAUUGUACCUACAAUUUCUUACAAGAUAGUAGGACCCAAGUGGUGAAUUAGUGCUUCGUGUGACGACAAUGACUAGAAGAUGGGUAGAUAGUAUUGUUAGCUCUAAGGUAGUUUUAGCCUCUUUUUUUAUAUCUCUAGGGUUCGUGGUUUGGGAUUUAUUUUUCUUUUUUGUAAUUUAUUUUAUUUUUCAUUUAUUAUAUAAAAUAAAUUAUAAAAAAAUGCAACGAAUAAAGAGCAUUUGUUGAUCAAAGUGUUGUCUAUUGAUGUGUAGAUAGAGAGCACUUAUUUGGAAAAAUGUUGUCUAGUGAUGGACAGAUAGAGAGCGCUUGUUUCGAGAAACGUUGUUUAAUGAUGUGCAUAUAGAGAACAUUUAUUUGCAGAAGCGUUAUCUAUUGAAUGUCAUUAGAUAGCGUUUUAUUGUAAGCGCUAUCUAUUAAUAGAUAUCGCUCCAAUAGAAAGCGCCUAAAAAGCACUGUCUAUGAACAAAAAAAGCGUUGUCUAUAAACAUUUUUGGCGUAAUGAAUAGACAUGUUUUAGGUGCAGGAUUUUCUUAUUGGUUGGAUGUAGUUUUGGUUUUGUUCAUGUGUGCAGUCGGCAUAAGGUUUUGUGGUUCAGUGGCUUGCUAUUUCACGGGUUUACAUGUUUUGUAGAAGGACAUAAUCUACUUGGGGUGUUGGGGUUUAGUUUGCUGUCACGUGAAGGGAUGGGUAUGUUUGCGCUCUCAUUUUUUUGCUAUGCAUGAAGUCUCUGUUAUUGCAAAUGAAGAGGAAAGAGAUUGGUUGUUCUUGCAAAUUCAUGCUGCAGGUAUUUUUUUUGUUCCUUCUUAUGCAUGGGUUCUUUAAUUAUUUCUCUUUCUUCCUUUUCUACUAUCUUCCAUACGUAAAUGCAUAGUGGUUGUUUCUUUUCCGCAUGCAAUCUAAGAAGGGUUGUAGCCUUGUAAUAGAUGAUGGGGCCGAGAAUGUUGUUGCAACAUAUGUUUGAAUGAGAUCAACUUUUCUCUCUCCUUUUUGCUUAGUUUUUCACGUGAAUGUGGGUGCAAAGACAUUAGUCUUUCUCUUUCUUCUUUUUAGUUGUGAUAUCAUGUAAAAAACGAAAAUGAUAUUCGAACAUAAAAUUCGAACUCAUUUCGAACUCAUUUUUGAUAUGGGAGACGUGGCACCCUUUUUUUCUUUUAUUUUUCCUUUUUUUAAAUCAAACAGAACUCAUGGUCACAUGCGCGGAAGUUAUGUGCUGUAAAUUCAUUUUGGCAAAACUAAAGCAAACAUGGAGAGAGAAAGUAAGAUAAAAUGGAAAACUUGGUAGUGUUCGUGAGAGAGGGAGAGAGAAAGGCGAUCGGAAGUGGAUGCAGGGUGGAGUUAGCAUGAGAUAGAAAGUCGGAGUAGAGGCAGAGGAAGGCGUUGCCGGAGAACAGGUGUCUGACCAGAACUCAUUGACGGCGUAGUUUUCAGGGUUAGUGCUAUUUUCAGAAGACGACCACUAGGGCUUCCAAAAAUCGAAGACUUCCGGCACACCACAACGAGCACGGCUAUUGUUGAUGUGGCGGUGUCAAAGGAAGAACUUGAUCAUGCUAUUGUAAGAGAAGCAUUUGAACAUUUUGGUACUGAAUACAAAACCCAAGAUUUGAAGGACAAGGAAGAGGUAGAGCGUUUGCUAGAAGAUCAUGAAGCACAGAUAGUUGAUUUGGAACAAUCUAUGUCUGCAUUGGAUGAGUUGGUUGCAAAUUGGAAGGGUCAACAGCCGAAGGAUGAGGUCCGAGAUGAAGUUGGUGAUGAUGUUUUCAUUGAUCCACAUGCUCAUGUAAUGAGUGAUGAAAAAGAUGAUGGUGCACAACAAAGCAAUAUGUAUGACCGUAUGAAGGCCCGACCUAGGAUGUGGUUCAAGAGUGUUGCCACAAAAACACCAUAUUCUGUUUGUGGAAAGAAGAAGUUGAAAUCACUACAAAUUGGUUGAAUUUGUUAAUUUGAAAACACCAUUGCUAUUUUAUUUUUAGCUAUUUAUGAAUGUUUGUUAUGGAUAGAUUUUACAGGACAAAGUCUGUCCAUGAUUCUG